GACGAACGCUGGCGGCGUGCCUAAUACAUGCAAGUCGAACGCAGUGGGGACGGGUGAGGAACACGUGGGUAACCUCCCAUCAGAGGGGAUAACACUUGGAAACAGGUGCUAAACCGAUACUGAUGGAUGGAGCGGGGGUGCAUUAGCUAGUUGGUGAGUGAACGGACCACCAAGGCCACGAUGCAUAGCCGACCUGAGGCGAGGAUCGGCAACCCUGGUGUUAGGACACGCCCCUGCCUCCUACGGGAGGCAGCAUUAGGGAAUCUUCGGCAAUGGACGAAAGUCUGACCGAGCAACGCGGCGUGAGUGAAAAAGGUUUUCGGAUCGUAAAACUCUGUUGUUAGAGAAGCGGUAUCUAACCAGAAAGCCACGGCUAACUACGUGCCAGCAGCCGCGGUAAUUC
rnacentral:rRNA from 1 species